AGUUAAUAUAACUGCAAAGAACGAAAAUUCUUACGCUUUAGCUGCUUAAUAACCAGCUAGCGUGAUCCUUCCGACUUCGCUCAAGGGUCGGGUCUGGGUCUCAAAUUAUUGAGCUACGGUUAAUGUUGCCACCUGAGGCAUUAACAAGAGACUAGUAGGUUAGCCGCCUUGUGUUAGCCUUGCUGGCUGGCGCGACAUCGCGGCGAAUUUUAAAUAAGUCAGCUAUAGGUGUAGAGCUGCAUGUAGCAGGGGUGAUGGACAGGAGUUCGAUUCUCCUCACCUCCAUUA
rnacentral:tmRNA from 1 species